CUCCUCCCUGGGAUUAUACACAUAUGAUCAACCUUCCUAACCAAUUGUCCUUAGUUUUUUUUUUUUAUUUGUUUUCCUCUCCUUUAGGUCCCUUAGAUGUUGUUAAUUCUCAGUGUAGUACUUGAAUAAAUUUGGGAUUGAGAGGAAAAGGAUCAGCAGCUGCUCCACGCUUGGAUCCCAAGUUUCUUCUCAAGGACAGUCUGGGACCUGGCAGUCAUCCUUUUGAGUGGCUCGAGUGCAGAAGAAUUUAUAAAAGGACACACAAGAGUUUCAAGAGCCAUCUUCUGACCAUAAGGAUGAGAGCCACACACUAAGGAUGGUGGAACACAAGGACACAAGGAACCCGGUCUCCAAUGGUACCUUGGCGAUCACACAAUGCCCAGACUGCCAACCACUGGAAUUCUCCUUAUUCAAGAAAAAUAAAUAUCUAAUUUGUUUCAGCCACUGUUUAUGAGGUUGUCUGUUCCUUGAAGCAGCUAAAAGCAAUCCUAACUCACACAAGGGUGAACCUUCUAAGACAAGCCAUGGCACAUACCUUCCUGACAGGUUGAUCUCUCUGCCUCCCUGCUCCAUUCUUUCCUUCUACCCACUGUAAUUCUUCCCAGCCUAGAACUUACACUGGACCAGAACAGUCACUGAAUUUCUAAGCCCGUUUGGUAACUCUUGAGG